GGCCGCGGUAUCCUCACCGUGCAGAGGUAGCAUAAUCACUUGCCCAUUACUUGUGGGCUACAAUGAAAGGAGAAACCAAAUAAGAAACUGUCUCUAUCAUCCUAAUAAAAAUUAAUCUCUAAUUGAACAAGAUUAGAUAUCAUCGAACGACAAAAACACCCUAAACAGCUUUAUUUUAAUAAAAAUUAAAGUUUUAAUAAAAAUUCGGUUGGGGCGACCAGGGAACUAAUUUAUCAUCCCUUAAUAACAGAUAAAUAUAUCACAGACCUGACCCUUAAUAAAGAUCAACAAAACAAGCUACCUUACGGAUAACAGGCUAAUCUCACUAAAGAUUCCUUAUUAAUAGUGAGGUUUGGCACCUCGAUGUUGGCUUAAGGAAUCUAUGCGGCGCAAAAGUCACAUAAAGAUGGUUUGUUCACCCUAUCAUACCCUACGCGAUCUGAGUUCAUACCGGA
rnacentral:rRNA from 1 species